rnacentral:rRNA from 1 species
ACUCCUACGGGAGGCAGCAGUGGGGAAUAUUGGACAAUGGGCGCAAGCCUGAUCCAGCAAUGCCGCGUGUGUGAAGAAGGCCUGCGGGUUGUAAAGCACUUUCGGCAGGGAAGAAAGGCUCAAUGUUAAUACCAUUGGGCUCUGACGUUACCUGCAUAAGAAGCACCGGCUAACUCCGUGCCAGCAGCCGCGGUAAUACGGAGGGUGCAAGCGUUAAUCGGAAUUACUGGGCGUAAAGCGCGCGUAGGCGGUUAAGUAAGUCGGAUGUGAAAGCCCUGGGCUUAACCUAGGAAUUGCAUACGAUACUGCUUAGCUAGAGUAUGGGAGAGGAAGGCGGAAUUCCAGGUGUAGCGGUGAAAUGCGUAGAUAUCCGGAGGAACACCAGUGCAAACGCCCUCCCCGGACUUUAACAGCCCCUGUGGCGCGAAAGCGUGGGGAGCAAACAGGAUUAGAUUCCCUGGUAGUCCCCGCCCUAAACGAUGGGUACUAGCUAUGGAGCUACUUUACUCUCAGUAGCGCAGCUAACGCAUAAGCAUACGCCUGGAUACUACGGUCGCAAGAUUAAAACUCAAAUGAAUUGACGG